GAGCUUCAUCCCCGGGAAACUAGAGGAAAGCCAGCCUUACAGUCAUUAAGCUCUUCAAAGGAUGGAUGUUUAUACAGUACAAAGGAGAAGAUGGAGAACAAAAGAGCCUUUCUUGGGGAAGCAACUCAGAGAGCUCUUUAAAUUCUGGUUAAUAAAAAUAAGGACUCAGACAAAGAAGAGUGAUCGAAACAGAAGCAAAUAAACUCAAACCUAAUAAGGAGGAGGACCCCAAGUUUCUUAAUUUAAGGCUGGGCCUACCUGUAGUCCAGUUACUCACUAACGCCUUCAAUUGCACC
rnacentral:lncRNA from 1 species